AAGCAACAUUUACUCCCUGAUGUGGAAGUUACAACUCGAAGAACAAACUUAUAAGUGAACUUAAAUCUUCAAUGAAGACGUCUUGCAUACAUUUCGAAGCAGAAAGAACAGCAGCAGAUUAGUGGCUGACAAGUCGUCGAAGGAUCCACAUCAGCAUUUACCAAAAUUUUUUGCUGAUGAAGUUACAACUCAAAGAACAAACUUACAAGUGAAUUUAAAACAUGAAUACUUUUCGCAAAGCAACAGCAACAAGGACAUUGUUGAACGAUCAGCAUUGACAUGGUCAAAAUUUACUCUUCGAUGUGUGAGUUAAGGAUAAUUCAAAAGCUAAGAAACUCGACAUUCAUCCAAAAGCUUUCAAGAAUGGGAAUUCCGUUGACGUUGAUCGGCAAAUUCGGUUGAUCUAAAUUGAAAAUAGGUACUCUAAUAUUCAAAAAAAAAUUCAAUUAUUUUUACAUCAACUACCGUUUAAUAACAUUUUUGAAUAUGUAAUAGUAAUAUUUUUAAUGCUAUUCUUAAUUCUUCUGCAUACUAUUACAUUUUUAACAUAGCAACAUUUUUUCAAAAUUUAACGGGAAUUCAAUUUAAUGUUGGAUCAGAAGGGUGUCCGGUAUUCCAAAUUCUUUGUUUGUAAUUC